rnacentral:lncRNA from 1 species
AUGGUUGCCUUAAGUUACAUUUAUAGGAUUGUCCAUAGGCACUUCUUGAAGUCCAUCUGUUGGGUUCAAGGAGUUUAUAUGAUGACCAAGAUGGUAUUCAAGGUAUUAUCCAAAGAAUGGUCAUAGAUACACAAGGUUGAUCAAGAUCUCAGACAAAGAGUAAAUCAAGAUGAUCAACACACAAAGCGUACAAGAUGUACCGAGAGGGAUCAAGUGAUCCCAUGGUAUGG